rnacentral:rRNA from 1 species
CCUACGGGAGGCUGCAGUGAGGAAUAUUGGUCAAUGGGCGGAAGCCUGAACCAGCCAAGUCGCGUGAGGGAUUAAGGCCCUGCGGGUCGUAAACCUCUUUUGCCGGGGAGCAGUUGUCCGGACGUGUCCGGGCCGGGAGAGUACCCGGAGAAAAAGCAUCGGCUAACUUCGUUCCAGCAGCCGCGGUAAUACGGAGGAUGCGAGCGUUAUCCGGAUUUGUUGGGUUUACAGGGUGCGUAGGCGGGCAUUUAAGCCGGCGGUCAAAUGUCGGGGCUCAACCCCGGCCUGCCGUCGGAACUGGGUGCCUUGAGUGGGCGAGAAGUAUGCGGAAUGCGUGGUGUAGCGGUGAAAUGCAUAGAUAUCACGCAGAACCCCGAUUGCGAAGGCAGCAUACCGGCGCCCUACUGACGCUGAGGCACGAAAGUGCGGGUAUCGAACAGGAUUAGAUACACUGGUAGUC